CCUGGGACUAUGUCUGGGCAGGUUACAGUCAGAGAAAACUCUGGUGGAGCUCCAUAGAAGCAAAUUGGUCAUCCGACCUGGGUAUGGGGCCAAAGACUAAUCAAACCAUCUAGUAGCUGG
rnacentral:ncRNA from 1 species